UAUUAUUUUUAAUGCAUGCUCCAAAAAAUACCCACUAUUUUGCCUGCCCCGUAACCCCGUUUACCCAGUAACCCGCUAACCCAGUAACCCAUUUCAGUUGCUAUCUUUGCGAUGUUUUGAUCGUGCAUUCAAAUUUUGAAUUAAGAGUCUGUCAAAACAAUCUUCAACCUUAUGGCUCAUAUCUACGAUCUUCUGCCGAUUACAAAAUUUUUUAAGAGAGCUCGCAUAGCGCGGGCAUAAUUGCAGAUCUUGCAAAACCAUCUUCAAGCUUUAUGGAUCAUCUCGGAAUCUUCUACCACUGAUGUAUACAGCAGUCUCCAGUCGCCUUCAAAUCAAUCAUGUGUAUAUCGGGUAUCGCAGCAUAAGUCUGCUAGCCUCGACACUGGGAUGGGUUCGGCUGCAUACACCGUUGAGGACGCGUUUGCAAGCAAUAAACAAUCAAGGCCUAUGUUUGGAUCGAAUGAAAAUCUGGAUCCUAAUAUACACAAGUCAGAAUCCCUUCCCUGUGUUGAUUUUUUCUACGUUCAACACCUUGGUUAAAGCUGGAGAUAACUAAUUACACCUUCGAGGGAAAUCAAUAAAUCAAUCGCAAUGCUUUUGUUUUCUGGCCAGGUGUUGAUUUUUUCUAUGUUUUUAAUAGAGUCUGGUGCAUGCAUUGGAGUUUUGUUUCUUCCUAUUCAGCUUGAUGUAAUAUCAGUGGAGUUCUUUCUAGGGUUGUUAAUUGCAUGUGCUGUAGGGUUUGGAUGUCAUGUGUGGAUAGCUGGUGGUAUUUUUUAGUGCAGUUGUGGAUUAGUGUCAUGGAUUUAUGCUGUAGUGUGGGGUUAGUUAUUUCCACAGAUUUGGUUUGGUGUUGCUUCUGCUGGGAUUAGAAGCAUCGGAAGGAUAUUGGUUCCUUUGCUAGACGGGUUUUGAACCAGGUUUACAUCCAUUUGGCUCCUGGGUUACUGAAUCUGAACUGCACGUAUAAGCAUCAAUUCACGGAUUUUUUGUACAGACGCUGCAGGUGGAGAUCAAUCUAAACUACAAUCCACUCACCCACGAUUUCUAUUGAUUUCAUUACCAAGAAAUUUGAGAAAGAAAUCAGAUCAAGUUUAUAAGGGCAUUAGCUUUAGCAUGGGAUAAACGUCUUAGUUGACGAAAUUGGUUUCUCGCCUGAUGAUUUGCAGAAUCUAAUACAUUCACUAUCCUAUGUGUAAGUUUUUAGAGCUCUUUUUUCCCCUUUCUAAUAUAUGAAUCAUGUGUUCUUUUUCCACCAGGAUACAUAAAAAAGAUCCCCCGUAUGACUUGAUUUUUUGAGGAAGUGAAUUACAAAUCCAGCUAUGAAGAGUCGGAAACAUGGACCAAAAAUCGAAAAGUUGUAUGGUCGCACUCCUUUCACUCCCAUUGAUGUAAAUAACAUGACUCAGCUGUGCUGAAAAUCACUACCAGGCGCAUCUAAUUGCAACAUGUCAGCAAAAUCUAAUAUCACAUUCCAACUCCCUCCCACGCAAGUUCACAAAAGGAAUAACAGUCAAGCAAAUGAUCUACGUUCAGAGAUGUGCAAUAUAAUGGAAGACUUUCAUAAUGCAGAUAAUGUUGUGUGGAAUUUGUGGUGCACAAAUGUGGAAUGAAGAGUGUAAUAAUAAGACGUCCAAAAGCCAAGCACCUUGCAAGAACAGAAAUGUUAAGCUUCCAAAAGAACCUCAGCCACCUGAACCACUAGCGUCUUUGUUGACGGGUGGUUUUAAGUCCAAGCAUUGGGUGGUACAUCCGAUGUUAUAGAUCCUGACAUUGUACAAUCUCUGUUGGCUAUGUUGGACCAAAAUAAUAAAUUGGUUGAAUCAUUUCGUAUGCAAGAGAUUGUUUCCAGAGUAAUGAACUUGAUGAGUUUAAGUUGGUUUUGAUAUCUUCUCAGCCGUCGAGUGGUCGAAAAAACCAUGUUACUCAAUCGGAUGAAGUAGCUGCUUUUAUUGUUUCUGAUGAUGCUGAUACUAUUGGCAUUAGAGAUCUAUGUUACCCGGACUCUCCAUUUUUGUGCCUAUACCCGUGUCCACCGGACAUGACAUGGGUGUGCGUAUGGGAUCUGUGUCGGAUCCUUCUUAUUACAACCGGACACCUCACCUUGUAACAUCCCAUGUCAAAAUGAAAACUUAGGUCUUGUUUCAACUGGUUUAUAGAGAUCAAGAUCCUUGAAUGACUUGUUUCUAUGUUGUUCUAUUAAUUUUAUGCUUCAAUUUUCAGCAUAUGUGAUUUAUGUGCAAUAGACACUAUUUUUAUGAAUGUACCAUAAAUCAGGCUAUAUUAAGUUUGACUUGCGUGGAGCUUAAGUGCCAAGUCCCCGUACCCGAGUCUAAUUCCGAAUCCACAUCCACGAAUCCUAAUUAUCCUAAAACUACGAAUCUGACUCUUGGAUCCGUACCCGUGUCCGAUACCCAUACCCGUGUCCGGGUAACUUAGUUAGAGAUACGAUUUUUCACUCCAAAAUAAAUGGUCUGGAAAGGAUAUAUGAAAUUGAUCCUUAUUUCAUGAGGUUGCAAUACCCUUUGUUAUUUCCCUUUGGGAAUGAAGGAUUUCACCUGCAUAAUCCUCUUCAGAAUCUGAAGAAACCAAAGAAGGGAGCUGAACAUGAUGAUGUUGAUGCUUGCGAGCCUAACCACGGGGAGACAAUCUCUCAUAAAGAGUACUAUUCCUACAAGAUCAUGAUUCUUGCCUCAGAAGGUAAAUAACAAAAAAUAAAUCUAAACAGUUCAAUAUAAAUUAAUUUUUAUAUAUCUGCAGAGGCCUCCAAAAUAAUUUCUUCACCGACUAAAGUUGAAUGCUUGAAUGGAGUUCAUAUUAAAAUGGUAGCAUUGGGCUGUGAUCACUUAGUUGUUGUUACAGGUUUGCUAUCCUUUUUCAUCUAUUUGCCCUACUAUUAUAUACUAGCACAUUUAACCCAUGUUCAGCAUGGGCAGAGUAUGGCUUUAUCUAAAUGCUGUAUGCACUAAUCUGAAGCUAUGUUACCCGGACUCUCCAUUUUUGUGUCUAUACCCGUGUCCACCGGACAUGACAUGGGUGUGGGUACGAGAUCUGUGUCGGAUCCUUCUUAUUACAACCGGACACCUCACCUUGUAACAUCCCAGGUCAAAAUGAAAACUUAGGUGUUAUUUCAACUUGUUUAUAGAGAUCAAGAUCCAUAAAUGACUUGUUUCUAUGUUGUUCUUGUUGAUUUUAUGCUUCAAUUUUCAGCAUAUGUGAUUUGUGUGCAGUAGACACUAUUUUUAUGAAUGUACAAUAAAUGUCUAUAUAAAGUUUUACUUGCGUGGAGCUUAAGUGCCAAGUCCCCGUACCCGAGUCUAAUUCCGGAUCCAUGUCCACGGAUCCUAAUUAUCCUAAAACUACGAAUCUGACUCUUGGAUCUGUACCCGUAUCCGAUACCCAUACCCGUGUCCGGGUAACUUAGAUCUGAAGUUUGUAUUAUUAUUUUUACCUGCAUCAUAGGUGUAAAACAUUUUUCUAUAAUGUGAGAACAAAAGAGACAGUUUCUAUUAGUCUAGCAGAUUAAAAUUUGUGCAACUUGCAGUUUGUCACCUCUUAAUUAAAAUCCCCCCCCUCCCCACAACACACACACACACACACACACAAAAACACUUCUGACCAGAUAACUCAGAAACUGUACACAUUGAGCACUGUCUUCUGAAGUGCAAAAAGCAAAUGGAAAUAAUUUUAAACAAACAUGUAGCUAAGGUAAUCACAUAAUUACUCACCUUCUUGAUUAUAAUCAUCAAUCAUUACGUAGUAGGAGAUAUUAUUCUUUCAGUUCUUAUUAAGCUUUUCAGAGGUCAGUCAAUCUCUAUUCAGUACAUAGCUUUUUCAUUAUUGUUCGUGGCGUAUUCUAGGAGUUUCACAUCAGAAGCUAUUGCUGUAUCAGCAUCCCUGCUGAGUAGGUGACCAUCGAUGAGUUAACACCUGCUCAUAUUUUGAAGUAAUUAAUUAUUGAAAAAUAUGUUCUAAAUUCGUUGAGAGUGCAAUUUAGUCAAUUGAAUAUUUAGUGGAUUUCUAUCGAACUGAACAACCUGGCAUUAUUGCAAUCUUGGGAGGAUAAGGUUCCUGGUGUCCUGCUUUCUGCAUUGGGGUUGUGUAAUAAAAUCCAGUAAGUUAGUUUGAUGCAGUUCUCUCGAAUAUUUUUUAGGGAACAAACAUGGCACACACACGCCUGUUUAAAAGCUUUGAAUCACUUUGUCAGGUAAGUUUAAGCAAAUAAUAUGCCAGACAGGUGCUUUCUUCAUUAUUUUAUACAUGGUUAACUACGACGGACUGAACUCUCAGAGCUUUGUAUUUUUUGCUAAUAAUACUGGCUUGCUCCGUAAAUACAAGUUUCUUUGACUAAUCCCACCAAGUUGAUCAUCUGUAAGAUGCAUAUAGAUUAUAUUAUAAAAUUGGUAACUAAUAAGUAUCAGAUAUUGAAGGUCGUGAUUACUGCGAUCCCGAGAUUGUCAAGUGUCUACUUGCUAUUUGAAGAUACACAGAUUCGUACCAUAUCUUCUUAGUCGUCGAGUGGUCGAAAAAAUCAUGUUACUCAAUUGUAGGAAGUAGCUGCUUUUAUUGUUUAUGAUGAUGCUGAUACUACUGGCAUAAGAGAUACAAUUAUUCAAUCCAAAAUAAACGGUAUGCAAAGGAUAUUUGAAACUGAUCCUUAUUUCAUGCAGUUGCAAUACCCUUUGUUAUUUCCCCUUGGGAAUGAAGGAUUCCAUCUGCAUAUUCCUCUUCAGAGUCCGAAGAAACCAAAGAAGGGAGCUGAGCAUGAUGAUGUUGAUGCUUGCGAGCCUAAACACAGGGAGACAGUCUCUCAUAAAGAGUACUAUUCCUACAAGAUUAUGAUUCGUGCCUCGGAAGUCUUACCCUUCACCUUGCUGCACGUUUGGGUGGAUGCUUUCACCGCAAUGGAGCAGUAUAGAUUGGAUUGGGUAUCUAGGCAUCUAAAUACUAUACGUGCUGAUCUUUACCAUGGUUGCCUUGCGGAAGGGUGAUAAUGAUCCAACUGAUGUUGGCAAAGCUGUAAUUCUUCCUGCAUCAUUUACUGGAUCUCAACGUUAUAUGCAACAAUAUUACAAUACUUUAAGGAUUCACUUGCAAUAUGUCAGUGCAAUAGGUCAUACCAUGACAUGUAACACCAAAUGGCCAAAGAUCAACAGGAUGCUGAGUAUGUUACAUAUUUCUCAUGUGUUCUUAAUUUGACAAGAACUCGAUAUAAUUAUUUCCAAUAUAUCUUUAUGUGAUAUGAUUUGUUGUGUUUA